rnacentral:lncRNA from 1 species
CGUCUUCCACUGCAAGAAACAAACCUUCCAGUGGCUGGGCUCCGCCCUUCUCCUUGGUCAGAGCCCUCCAGGCUCCUAAGGGCGAAGCCGACACCUCAUCCCUUUGGAACUUGAAGUUCUCAGUCCAAGACCUCCGUGGAGAGUGAAAGACUCAAUGCCUCCUGACCGAGGCUUCAGGCCUGCCCCGGCAGCUAGGAAACCUGAAACUGCCAUUGAGCAGAAGGAAAACAUCCCUUUCCAGAACCUUUCUCGUUUUUCUAAAAAUCUGCACUUUUGGAAGUGAUCCCCCAAAGAGACCUCCAGACUCUACCAUGAGUGUCUCCAGCUGAACUCAUCGUGUCUAAUCCUCACCCUAGCUUAUCCUGUUCAAAUCAUUUCCAUCUUUUUCUGGAUGAACCUGGGCGGAUGUCAGACCAGAGAAGAGCACAGAAUGUACCAGAGAGAAGAAGAAACAAAGAAUAAAGAAAAGCAUUUUUUUUGAGACGGAGUCUCGCUCUGUUCCCCAGGCUGGAGUGUAGUGGUACGAUCUCGGCUCACUGCAACAUCCACCUCCCAGGUUCAAGUUAUUCUCCUGCCUCAGCUCCCAAGCAGCCAGGAUUACAGGUGCAUACCAUCACACCUGGCUAAUUUUUGUAUUUUUAGUAAAGACAGGGUUUCACCCUGUUGGCCAGGCUGGUCUCAAAGUCCUGACCUCAAGUGAUCCACCUGCUUCGGCCUCUCAAAGUGCUGGAAUUACAGGCAUGAGUCACAGUGCCCAGCCGCAAAGUAUAUUUUUGUAAAAUUUCAUCAAGAUAAAUCUGGCUAAACCAAUAAACUAAUAAUAACAAAACUUGGGUUAUUGUUGACUAAAGGAAGGUGGCACAAAAUGGAAACAUUUUUAAACAUUCAAAAAAAAAAAAAGACUGGUCAGGCGCAGUGGCUUACACCUGUAAUCCCAGCACUUUGGGAGGCCAAGGUGGGCGGAUCAUGAGGUCAGGAGAUUGAGACCAUCCUGGCUAACACGGUGAAACCCCAUCUCUACUAAAAAUACAAAUCCUGGCUAACACGGUGAAACCCCGUCUCUACUAAAAAUACAAAAAAUUAGCCAGGCGUGGUGGCGGGUGCCUAUAGUCCCAGCUACUCGGGAGUCUGAGGCAGGAGAAUGGCGUGAACCCAGGAGGCAGAGCUUGUUUGCAGUGAGCCAAGAUCGCGCCAUUGCACUCCAGCCUGAGCGAUAGAGCAAGACCCUGUCUCAAAAAAAAAAAAAAAAAACAAGGAUAGUCUUUACACAGAAGUGGUAUGCACAGGUGAAUUGUCUGGGAAGUCAGGAUGUUGCACAGAAGCUAUGCAAGUCAUAGAUUAGAAAAGCAAGAAUCCACAUUCAUGCUUUCCAGCAUAGAUGAGGAGAUACUUUUUCUCCACCUUCUUAGAUUCAGUGGCUGGGCAGAGAGUGCUGUGAAUUCAUCUGACAACAGGCAGAUUAACACGAGAAAAGGAAUAUAAGUUUUUUAUUUUUUAUUUUUUUAUUUUUUUGUUUUGAGACAGAGUGUCACUCUGUCUCCCAGGCUGGAGUGCAGUGGCUCACUGCAAGCUCCCACCUCCCGGGUUCACACCAUUCUCCUGCCUCAGCCUCCCAAGUAGCUCAGACUACAGGCGCCCGCCACCAUGUCCAGCUAAUUUUUUUUAUUUUUUAGCAGAGACAGGGUUUCACCUCCCAAAGUGCUGGGAUUACAGGCAUUAGCCACCGCGCCCAGCCAAGUUUUUUAAUGUUUAAUCUAAUGUGCAUGGAGGCAUCAUAGAAAGAACUGAAUAUCCAAAAGUGUGGUGAAAUUUGAGACUUUAGAUACCAUCUUAAUGAUAGUGGCAGGAGGCAGACAAAUCCUAGGGAGACAAGGGUGGGUCCCUGGUGAAACCCCACCUUCAAACCAAAGACAGUUUAAAGCAUGAAAGCCAAGCUACAAGUCUCCAGUAAAUCCAUGGACCGGAUUAAGAAUCUCUCUUCCCCUUUAGCACACUUCCCUCUGAUUGAUCCACACACUUCACUUAGUGCACUUUCCUCUGAUUGAUCCCCACACUUCACCUAUUUUACAUAUACCUGCCCUUCCCUAAUUGUUUUUUUACACAGUUGUGCCCACCUUUGAGUGGUGCUUUUGUUUUAGCCUUUUUUGCAUAUGCACAAACCAAUCAGCAUGCACUCCCCCAUUCUGAGCCUAUAAAAGCCCCAGACCCUGCCACAUUGGGAGAGAGACCACCCAACUUCUGGUGGGAAACCAUCCUCGAAUCCCCUCUCCACUGAGAACUGUUUUGUGGCUCAAUAAAACUCCUCUCUGCCCUCCUCACUUUUUGAUUUUCAGCAUAACCUCAUUCUUCUUGGAUGCAGGACAACAACUCGGGAUCCACCUAACACGGGUACAAAGAAGGCUGUAACACGGGAAGCAGCUGUUGGGCCAAACCAGCCCUGGAGCUGUAGGCCAGAGCAAGACCACAGGACUGACAGAGCUGUUAACACGCUGACAUCUUUCGGGCUGCAGAGGGCGGGACUGAAAGAGCUAUUAGCAUGUUGUAACACCCACUCUGGGGCUUUGGGGUCACGGGCAUCCCUGUUUGGGUGCCAUCACAUUCCCCUCAUCUGGAUGCCAGAGUCCACCAUAGGAGUCACUUGCAACAUGCCUGGUCCAGCCACAAGUCCCACACAGAGCCUGCUCCUGUGCUGGUGCUUGGAGCUACCAGUGGAACCCCACACUCACUAGCUCACACACCCCUCCUGCCAGGGGCUGAGUGCACAGUCAUGGUGGCCACAGGAUCUGCACCAGAGGACAUGCCAGGCACAGCCCAGCAAACCGAGUAGAUGGGGCAUCUCCUGUGGUUAGCCUGGGCUCCAGCAAGGCCUAGGUAGGGCAUCGCCAGCCAGAGGUCUCUGGCUGGCAAAGUUGCUGAGAAACAUCCUAUGUCAUUAAGGAGAUGGGGAGGGGCAGAGGGGCACUUAUGGAAAUAUGAAUGAUUUUUUUUUUUGAGACAGAGUCUCUCUCUGUCGCCCAGGCUGGAAUGCAGUGGCGUGAUCUUGGCUCACUGCAAGCUCUGCCUCCGGGGUUCAUGCCAUUCUCCUGCCUCAGCCUCCCGAGUAGCUGGGACUACAGGUGCCCGCAACCACACCCAGCUAAUUUUUUGUAUUUUCAAUAGAGACAGGGUUUCACUGUGUUAGCCAGGAUGGUCUCGAUCUCCUGAACUCGUGAUCCAUCCUCCUCAGCCUCCCAAGGUGCUGGCAUUACUGGCAUGAGCCACUGCACCAGCCACAAAUGAUAUUUUAGAAGAUAAAUGGUCCUUUAGAAGAAUAGAUAAAAGAUAUGACAGUUUUUAGAGAAUGUCUUUUUUUGGGUAGGGUGGGUGUAAUCACCCAAUGGUUUCAUCUUGCCCAUUGUCCACAAAGGCCAAUGCACUGAGAACAGCAGCUUUUUUGCAGCAAAGAAAGACUUCAAUAAUUGCAGGGCUGGCCAAGUGGAAGGACAGGAAUUCAUUCCCAAAUCCACCUCCCUGAGAAUUCUUUUUUUUUUUUUUUUUUUUUUUUUUUGAGACGGAGUUUCACUCGUACUGCUGCCCAGGCUAUAUAGUGCAAUGGCACCAUCUUGGCUCACCACAACCUCCGCCUCCCAGGUUCAAGCGAUUCUCCUGCCUCAGCCUCCCGAGUAGCUUGGAUUACAGGCAUGCACCGCCACGCCCAGCUAAUUUUGUAUUUUUAGUAAAGAUGGAGUUUCUCCAUGUUGGUCGGGCUGGUCUCAAACUCCCGACCUCAGGUGAUCCUCCCGCCUCGGCCUCCCAAAGUGCUGGGAUUACAGGCAUGAGCCAUGGCACCCGGCCAGGCUGAGAAUUCUUAAGACAGGAUUUUUUAAGGAUAGUUUGGUAAGCAUGGGGCUAGGGGAUGGGUUGAUGUGUUGGGUACUAUGGGGAACGUGGAAGUGGAGAAUAGUGUGGACUUUUGAAAGGAUGUCUGCCUAGGAGUGGAGUUGGGCAUGAGGGCAGGACUAAAAAAGAGUGAGUGAAGGAAAAGGUAUGCAGGGAGCAGAAGAGUGGAGGGGUGGCUCGGGGUUUGGAGACUUGCCCGUCAAUUCCCACAACAGAGACUUGGGAGGACUGGGUGGGUCCUGAAAAAUUAGGUAAAGCAGAGUAGGUUGCCCGGUAUUAAAUAAGAAAAAAUACUGGCCUACCUGCCACCAUCAGGGUUACCCUUGUCUUAGAUGAAGCAAUGGUAGUUGCCGGGGCGUCCAUUCCAGGGCCCCAUCAGUCUUCAGUGGCAAGGCCAGUGAGAUCCGAGUAGGAGGUUUUGGCCAGCUCAGGAAGGGAUGGGAGUGGUCCUUGUGGGGGCCGCUCACAGUCCAACUUCCAGUGGGGUCCUCUGCAGAGGGGGCAUGGCCUGAUGGGCUUACCUGGGUUUGGGCAUUGUCUAGACCAGUGGCCUUCAUUGCCAUACUUGAAACAUGCGCCAGGUGGAGGUGGAUUGCUAGGAGGCUUCUGUGUGGAGCUGCGGCCCUGUGGGCCUGCAGGGCCCCGGAUGGCGGAGUCAAGCAUUUGAAACUCUGCAUGUUUUUGCCUUUUAUUUUCCUCAUCACGAUUGUUAAAGACUUUGAAGGCUAAAUUAAGAAGGUCUCGUUGUGGGUUUUGAGAGCCAUCAUCAAGCUUCUGUAGCUUACGCCGAAUAUCGGGGUGGAUUGGGACAUGAACUAAAGGUUUAAAAUAGUGGUUCCUUCUGGGCUGGUUGGGUCUAGGUUGGUAUAUUUUCUCAUGACUUCAGUUAAACAAGAGAGAAAAAGGGCUGUUUUUUCGUCAGGAUCUUGGGGGAUUUCUGAAAGUUUUUCAUAGUUUAUCGCUUUAUGGGCACCCUUUUUGAGUCCUGCAAGGAGACACAAUUGUGGUCUCAAUGGUAGCGUCCAGAGGCCCUGUCUUGAUAAUCCCAGUGGGGGUCCUGGUUGGGGACUGCCUGUGCGCCAGUAGGCUGGGCAGGAGCUUGGUGAUAAAUUGAUCAGCAUGCCCCUGAGCUAGGGUCCAGAUAUGGUCCCGGUCUUCUGGGGUGAGGGUGGAAGAGAGGAUAACGUAGAGGAUAUGCCAGAUUAGUUCAUAAGACUGGGUAAGGUACUGAAACUCCCUAAUAUAAGAGGUCAGGUCUUCUGGAAAUGAACCCAGUCUUUUGUUAAUUUGAGAGAAAUCAGUGAGGGAGAAGGGAACAUGAACUCUAACAAUACCUUCAGUUCCUGCUACUUCCUGAAGAGGGCACUCUAGCACAGGCACUAAAGUAAGGGUGGGGCAUGGCCAAACAUGGCACCUGAACAAGUGUGGAUGGGAGAGAAGGAAGAACCUGGAAGUGGUUCCUGCUGAGUGUUUGAAGGGGAAAGGGGGAUUGAGUUAACAGGUAGUGGAGGAUAGAUAGGGGCGUAAGGUGGUGGGAUGGGUUUACAAGCCUCAGGAGAAGGCAGUAGGGGAGGAGAAUGGGUACAGGCAAUACUAGAAUUGUCCUGAGGAGGGGGCGGUGUAGGAAAAGAAGCAGAUACUGCUGACUGGGAAGAUGGUGGCUGGGAAGAUGGCGGUUGAGAAGACAACGAGGAGGCUUGGGCUAAAGAAGACGAUUGAGAGGAAGAGGUAGGGGUUGGGAGGGGUGGACAGCAGUCUGCUGGAUCUAACGAGGAAAAAGAGGUAGGGUUGGGAGGAGAAAGACAAUCAGGGUGGCAAGAAUGGAGGAGAAGGAUUUGAACAGGUGAGCAAGAAUUGCAGAGGUCGGGUUGUGAUCUGAGUGCAAAAAGGCCUGGACAUAAGGAAUUUCUCCCCAUUUCUCUAGUCGUUGUCAAUAAUUGCUUAACUCAGUUAAAACUGUAAAGUCGAAUGUUCCAUUUGCGGGCCAUUUGGACCCAUUAUCCAAUUCGUAUUGUGGCCAGACUGAAUUGCAAAAAAAGACAAGGCGCUUAGGGUGGAUAUUUUGCCUGAGGCCUAAGGUUUGCAGGUUUUUUAUGGGGCAGCCUAGAGGGCUGUUUUUUGGAAGGGAGGACCGGGAGUUUCCCAUAACAGAGGGUAGGCUCAGGAGAACAGGGAAAAAGGAGACCGUCCUGGACGGCCAGAGGGAGACAAAAGGAGCAAUCAUCAUCACCGCUGCCUUUUUCAUUCCUGGAACGGGAUCAAAUGGAUUAGAGGCGUCUCCCUAAGACCAGGUGAUGGGAUGAUCAGCGAGUACCUGGCACACGCCGGAGCCUUGCUGGACCGACAUUGGAUUUUUGGACCGUAGACACCAAGAGAGGCCAUGUGGCUUUUCCCUUGUUAACUGGGCUCCUAGGGAAACUUACCAAUAGGCAAGGCCAGUGACCAAUGUGCAUGCACAGAGAGGCAACUGGAGGCUGAGGAGCUUCCUUUGUCCUGCUGCUGUGGCCUGUUCUCCAGGGUGGAGGGGUAGGUCCAUGGGGGAUGUGGACCAGAGCCCCUCCCCGGUUUCGGCACUAGAUGUAAGGUUCUUGUGUUGGUUCAAACCCUGAGAGCACGCCAAAAGACAACACGAAGUGGUGUGGAGCAGCAACAUGCUGUUUUAAUGAGCACGUGAGUGCAGGUGGGCUGAGGCCUAAAAUGGCAUCAGCCCCAAGUGAGGACGGUACAGGGGGUUUAUAGUCCUCUGUAAACAGGAAGUGUCCCAGUCUAACAUGACUGCUAUGUAGUACGCGACGGCCUCUUUCUCGAUCUUCAGGGGUACGUGUCUUCUGGCCAGGGAAUGUGUCUUCCGGCUGGCUCUCUUCCUGCUUCUGCUAUCUUGCUGACACACGCUGCUGGUGCAAGUGGCGUUGUGCCUUGGGACUGGGCCUGAGAAGGGGGGAGUUACUCAUCCCUUCAAGCUUUGGGUCCCCGGGGAGAAUCUUUCAAGUAUGAACCUGGCCUUGUGAAAGCAGAGCUCCAGUUACACAGUGUAUCCCGAAUCCAUGAAUGUUAUGAUGGUGCUAAUUUGAACCACUAAGAGGCCUUGUGAGAGUCUCUUCUUUCCCAGAAAAUGUGGGGAACACAGAGAGUGUCUUUCUGGAUAGACAUACCCAAGAAACUUCUGCUGAGGAAAGUGAAAGCAAAGAUACAACUUAUCCCAGAAAGGGGAGUGCAUAUGUAGAUGGUGAUAAGUAAUAUAGCCUGAAAUAUUCACAUGGAUAUAAUUAGAGUUAGGGUUAUAGUUAAGGAGGAAGGGAAGGGAGACAGAAAGAAAGCAAGUAAGAAAGGAAGCAAGAAAAGAUAAAACUGUGUCCAAGUUUCUUACUUGUAUUAAACAGAGUGUUUUUCUAGAUAUUGUUAACCAAGAUAAGGAAUCCCUAAAGAGAGGCAGGCUUGAUUUAGAGCUGUCUGAGGGCUUCCAAAAGAGCUGUUCAGUGAAUAAGAAGGAAUCCAACCAUGGAGCAUCAGAGUCUAAGUUGGAUGUAUAGGUUUGUGUGUCUUCAGUAUUGUCUUGUAUUUUAAGACAGAAUUAGAUGUGCCCAUCAGAAAUGAGUGUAUGGCAUGAAAAAGUUGCAGAUGGUAGGCCGCAGUGAACUCCAAUUGUUUGGAAGGCUUAACUUGAACCUUCCUAGGCUAGAGAAUUUUAAAUGACUGAGAUGUUUCUAAUGUGCCUAGAGCUUCUUUUCUAAUGAGCCCAGGGAGGGCUAGAAUCUCUAUCAGAGUUAGUCUGGGAUGUAAAGGGGAUCAGGAUGUGCCACCCCAAUAUAUGCCACUUUAGCCUAUGGAUUAUUUUGAGCAGUUAAAAAAUUAGAAAUAGCAGGCCUGGUGCAGUGGCUCAUGCCUGUAAUCUUAGCACUUUGGGAGACCGAGGCAGGUGGAUCACCUGAAGUCAAGAGUUCGAGACCAGCCUGGCCAACAUGGUGAAACCCCAUCUCUACUAAAAAAAAAAAAAAAAAAAAAAUACAAAAAUUAGCCAGGCGUGGUGUGGCACGCCUGUAAUACCAGCUACUCAGGAGGCUGAGGAAGGAGAAUUGCUUGAAGCCAGGAGGUAGAGGUUGCAAUGAGCCAAGAUCGUACCACUGCACUCCAGCCUGCGUGAUGGGAGCGAGACUCCAUCUCAAAAAAAAAAGAGAAAAAAAGAAAUUAGAAAUAGCAGACAUAUGAGGAUCUCUGACCUCCCUUUCCUGCUGAAAAGCAGGGCAUACAUUUUGCUUUUGUAAAAAAAUUUGCAUUUAUAAAAGCUUCCACCUCUCCCCUACCUGGAAGAGAAGGAAACUCUUCUACUCUAAUACUUGAAGGGGGCCUGCCUCUCCACACCUGUGGGUAUUUCUUGCAAGGUGGAGACGAGACACUGAGAAAAGAAAUAAGACACAGAGACAGUAUAGAGGAAGAAAAGUGGGCCAAGGGGACUGGUGCUCAGCAAGUGAGGACCUGCACCAGCAUUGGUCUCUGAGUUCCCUCAGUAUUUAUUGAUCACUAUCUCUACUAUCUUGGCGAGGGGGAUGUGGCAGGACUAUAGGGUAAUGGUGGCCAGAGGGUCAGCAGGAAAACAUGUGAGCAAAGGACUCUGUGUCAUAAAUAAGUUUAAGGAAAGGUGCUGUGCCUGGAUGUGCACAUAGGCCAGAUUUAUGUUUGACUUUACACAGACAUCUCAGUGCAGUAAAGAGCAGUAUUGCCGCCAGCAGGUCUCACUUCCAGCCAUAAGGCAGUUUUCUCCUAUCUCAGUAAAUAGAAUAUAUGAUCAGGUUUUACACUGAGACAUUCCAUUCCCAGGGACAAGCAGGAGACAGAUGCCUUCCUCUUGUCUCAGCUGCAAAGAGGCCUUCCUCUUUCACUAAUCCUCCUCAGCACGGACCCUUUAUGGGUGUCGGGCUGGGGGAUGGAGGUCUUUCCUUUCCUACAAGGCCAUAUCUCAGGCUAUCUCAGUGGCGGGAAACCUUAGACAAUACCCAGGCUUUCUUGGGCAGAGGUCCCUGUGGCCUUCCACAGUGCAUUGUGUCCCUGGGUACUUGAGAUUGGAGAAUGGUGAUGACUUUUACCAAGCAUACUGCCUGCAAACAUUUUUACCAAGGCACAUCCUGCACAGCCCUAAAUCCAUUAAAUCUUGAGUCAAUAUAGCACAUGUUUCUGCGAGCACAGGGUUGGGGCUAGGGUUACAGAUUAACAGCAUCUCAAGGCAGAAGAAUUUUUCUUAGUACAGAUCAAAAUGGAGUUUCUUAUGUCUUCCUUUUUCUACAUAGACACAGUAACAGUCUGAUCUCUCUUUCUUUCCCCCACAAUGCUUGUUUGAGGACAUGUAUUAUCACCAGAGAGGACUUGAAACUGCAUAACAAACCGUACUUGCCAGACAUUUCCUAAUCACCUUCUCACUGUUUACUCCCUCCCCCUAUAAUCGAUAAUCGCAAAGCUUCCUUUCCCUUUGACUAUUCUAUUCUCUUCACAAUUUAUCACCCCUUGUUAAAUGGUAUAUAAGCCCCCAGCCCUAAACUCCUACUUGGGUUUUCACUUCUCUUUUGUGAAGCCUCAUUAUGUAUGCAAAAUAAAAUUUUUCUACUGUUAAUCUGUCGUUUAUCAGUUUAAGUGACAGGCUGGGGCUGGGCGCCGUGGCUCACGCCUGUAAUCCCAGCACUUUCGGGAGGCCGAGGUGGCCGGAUCACGAGGUCAGGAGAUCGAGACCAUCCUGGCUAACACAGUGAAACCCCGUCUCUACUAAAAAAUACAAAAAAUUAGACGGGCGUGGGCCGGUCGCGGUGGCUCCCGGCUGUAAUCCUAGCACUUUGGGAGGCCGAGGCGGGCGGAUCACGAGGUCAGGAGAUGGAGACCAUCCUGGCUAACACGGUGAAACCCCGUCUCUACUAAAAAUACAGAAAAUUAGCCGGACGAGGUGGCGGGCCCUGUAGUCCCAGCUACUCGGGAGGCUGAGGCAAGAGAAUGGCGUGAACCCCAGGGGGCGGAGCCUGCAGUGAGCCGAGAUUGCGCCCCACUGCACUCCAGCCUGGGCAACAGCGAGACUACGUCUCAAAAAAAAAAAAAAAAAAAAUUAGCCGGGUGUGGUGGCGGGCGCCUGUAGUCUCAGCUACUCGGCAGGCUGAGGCAGGAGAAUGGCGUGAACCCCGGAGGCAGAGCUUGCAGUGAGCCAAGAUUGUGCCACUGCACUCCAGCCUGGGCGACAGAGCAAGGCUCUGUCUCAAAAAAAAAAAAAAAAGUGACAGGCUCUACACACUGAAUUUAAGAAGGUAGAGGUCGGGUUUUUUCAUCAUCUACAAAGGUACUCUGCUUCUAAAAUGAGUUAGAACAAUGGAUUUGACCACAAUCAGAUGGACAUUAAGGGUAAGAAAGAAAAGUGGCUCAAAGCAGCCUGAGGAAUGUAAAGUAUGCAAAAUUUAUCAGGCUCAGAGAGACUUGAGCAAGAGCCUUCAGUCAUAUCCCUCUCAGCCAUACCCAGGAAUAACUGUUUCAAGGCAUUUUGACAGGGGCGGCGACUCAGCUCUUGCCUGUAAUCCCAGCUACUCAGCAGGCUGAGAUGGGAGGAUCACAUAAGCCCAGGAGUUUGAGACUGCAGCAGGCUAUAAUCAGGCUACUGCAUUUCACCCUGGGCAACGGAGAGAAAACCCAUCUCUAAAAAAGUUAAGAUAAAUAAAAAAUAAAUAAGCAAAAAAUAAAUUUGGAGCCGGGCGCGGUAUCUCAUGCCUGUAAUCCCAGCACUUUGGGAGGCCGAGGUGGGUGGAUCACCUGAGGUCAGGAGUUUGAGACCGGCCUAGCCAACAUGGUGAAACACCAUCUCUACUAAAAAUACAAAAAAUUAGCCAGGUGUGGUGGUGGGCGCCUGUAAUCCUAGCUACUCGGGAGGCCGAGGCAGGAGAAUCGCUUGAACCCAGGAGGUAGAGGUUGCAGUGAGCCAAGAUCGCACCAUUGCACUCCAGCCUGGGCAACAAGAGCGAAAUUCCAUCUCUAAAUAAAUAAAUAAAUUUUGGUGGUUUUUUUUUUCUUUCCUGUUGUUUCCAGACUAAUAACCUAAAAUGUUACCACAAGUUGGGCAAUGUGAGUCUCACUCAUUACCUUCUUUUUCCUGAAAUUAGUGACAUAAAGAAAAAUGUAUAGCCAACAAUAGCUUAUGUUAUUUUAAUAAACCAAUGUAAAAUUUUGUUUGUUUGUUUUGUUUUUGAGACAGAGUCUUGCUCUGUCACCCAGGCUGAAGUGCACCCAGGCUGAAGUUGGAGGCUAUGGUGAGCUGCACCACUACACCACUAUGGGAGGCCGAGGCGAGUGGAUUGCCUGAGCUCAGGAGUUCGAGACCAGCCUGGGCAACGUUGUGAAACCCCGUCUCUACUAAAACACAAAAAAUUAGCCAGGCCUGGCGGCAUGUGCCUAUAGUCCCAGCUACUCAGGAGGCUGAGGCAGGAGAAUUGCUUGAACCCGGGAGCUGGAGGUUGCAGUGAGCCGAGAUUGCGCCACUGCACUCCAGCCUCGGUGACAGAGUGAGACUCCGUCUCAAAAAAAAACAAUAUAAGGUGAAGGCCAAGCAGGGUGGCACAUACCUGUUGUCUCACCUACUCAAAAGGCUGAGGCCAGAGGAGGAUUGCUGGAAGUGAGUUCAAAGCCAGCCUAGAGAAUAUAUUGAGACUCUGUCUCUAAAUUUUAUAUAUAUAUGGUGAAUUCACCUUUACCAUAUCUUUUAUGUAUAAGCAAUGGGAUUGAUUAGCAAGUAAUGGGACUCUGAAAUCAAAGGGGUAAAUUUGGGUAGAUCUUUAUAAAUAUAAUAACCUUGAACCCCACAAAUCUCUCUAAGCGUCCUUUAAAAAAUAGACUUUCUGUCUGAGUAGGUGAGUCCUUUUUUUUGUUUGAAGAUACUAGAAAGCUCUUACUUGAGACAGCUCCUAAAAGAAUGUCAAUUCAACAGAAGUCUCAUAGCCAGUAUAACUAAUUCUAACCCCCUAACUAGAGUCAGAUACUAGGAUACCCCUAAGGGACAACAAUGAAAUCUGAAUUUGGGUGUCAUUGCUUACAUAUCAAAACAGUUGCAAGAGACAGUUAAUUUAUAUUUGCAGAAACCAUAUGAAUUUGUAUGAAAAUGAUUUUUUAAAGUGCUAUAUCAAGAAAACUAGAACAUAAUGCAGAACAAAUAAAAUUUACUUAUAUGGGUGCCAAGAAUAGAAAUUCUGGGUUCCGCAUACAUCAGCAUCUAGAAGAAUCUGCAGUAGGUAUGGAUGGUUGAUUGAGGCCUUUAUUCAAUGGUAGUCUACAAAGAAUAAGACAGAAGUAAGAACUUUCCUGUUAAAAUGGAAAGAUAGAGUAAACAAGUUUAGGAAUAUCUCAUAAGCCACUGAUUCCAUUCUUAGGUCUAUAUCCAAGGGAAAUUCUUGCACAUGCACACAAGGAAACAUGGAAGAGAAUGUCCAUAUAUGUACUGUUCACAGUAACAAAAAUUUGCUGAGGAGGAAGGAACUAAAACUCCAACAAUAGGAGAGCGGAUAGAAAGGAACAUAUUAUAUUCACAGAACGGAAUAUUUUACAAAAAUCAGAAUAAACUACAACAUUACUCAAAAUCAUGGCUGCAUUAUAGCAACAUAAUAUUCAGAGAAAAAGUUUAAAAGACUACAUAGAACUGUCAAUUGAGGAAAAUGACAAGAUAAGUCUCAAUCAUUUUAGGAGGUUUAUUUGCCAAAGUUAAGGACAUGCCUGGGAGACAGGUCUAUGCCUUUCUCUGAUGAUGAUUUUGAGGGCUCCAAAUUUAAAGGGGAAAGGGCAGGAUAUUGAGAAGCGCACAGUUUUCACAUAAACCAAAGGGGCAGAGGAAAAAUAUGGGGAAUCUGCAUUUUACAUAAGAUAACAGACAAAAUGGGGUAGAGGGAACAAUCAGAUAUGCAUUUGUGUCUGGCGAGCAGGGUGACUGCACAUGUAAAGAUAAGCUAUCAAUUUGCAUUGCCAUGGUGAAGUUUUAACAGCUCACCAGGAAUUUCCCUGUGGGCAAAAUAUGGGAGAGGCAUGUAGCUUUUCAUCUUGUAGCCAUCUUAUUUAGGAAUCAAAAGCGGGAGGCAGGUUUGUGUGACCCAGUUCCCAGCUUAACUUUUCCCUUUGGCUAAAUGAGUUUGGGGUCCCAAAGUUUAAUUUCCCUUCACAGAACACAGUUUUAUUUUAUAAAAUUAACAAAAACACACAAUAUGUAGAUACAUAUUGAUAAAAAUAAAACUAUGUAAAAAGGUAAACAACAGAAUAUUCAAUUUAGUAAUAAAAUAACCAACUGUGGAUGGUUAUCUUGAAUUGAAGGGUUGGAAAUAAGGGAUACAGGAAAAUCACACACAAUAAACUAAAUUGGAAGAUGGGCCUAAUGCUAACACCAAAAAUGGACCUCUUGACGGCAGAAUUGCAUUUAUCUAUCCAGCCUCAGGAAGAGUUACACAACCUCAAGUUUCCUCAAGUGAGGCUGUGUGUCUAUGAAAUGUGGGGCAUGGAGAAGCAAGCAUAGCACAGUUUUCCAGGAGGCGCUGGCUUAAUAAAAGAGGGUGGAAUGUGAGGGGCCAAACUUUUCAUGUGUAGAUCCCCUCUCAAACUCUACAACCAGAUAAUUCAUUAGUUUAGUGGUGAGAACUAAAAGAUGAGACAUGAAACUAAAGUUAUUCAGGUAUAAUUGUACCUUAUAGAAACUGGACAAGGGGGAUGCCACUUUUCCCACUUAUACAAUCAUUCAGUGUAUUGAACUACCCUGUGAAAAGAUAAGUACAAUUGCAUUAAUAGAUUAAGUAAACUACAACAAGGUAUGGGGUCACACACCUGUAGUCCCAGCUACUCAGGAGGCUGAGACAGGAGGAUUGGUUGAGCUCAGGAGUUAAAGGCUGUAAUGAGUUAUAAUCAUGCCACUGCACUCCAGUAUGCGUGACAGAGUAAUACUUCAUCUCUUGAAAAAUAAAGAGAGAAAAGAGAGAAAGAAAUUAUAGCUUCAAACUCUAUGCUAUUUUGAAGACAUAAAGUAAAAUGAUAAAAAGAGUUGAAAAUAAAGGAGUGGACAAAGAUACAUCUGAAUCUAAUCAAUUUUUUGAACUUUUAUUUUAGGUUCAGGGGUACAUUGGGUAUAUUUUAGGUUCAGGUGGGUGGAGGGAUGUCCUUUAGUUCUGUCCUUUGUCCAGUACCCAUGAAGAUAAGCUGUUAAUUUACAUUGUUAGGGUGAAAUUCAACAGAACUAUUUUAGGGUACAGAUAUCAAGGUCCACAAGAAAUUUCCUUGUGAGCAAACUGAAGAUGGUAUAUAGCCUUUUGUCUUUGUAGCUCUCUAUUUAGAGGAAAAAAUAAGAGGCCAUUUUAUGUGACUUGGGUCCAAGCUUGACUUUUCCCUUCAACUUAGGGAAUUUGGGGUCCUAGUAUUUUUAUUUGCCCUUCCUAGCUGUUAUAUGUAAGUUGCUCUGGUGAUUUUUCCUGAAGUUUAUAUUGCCUAACUUCAGUUGGCAGGGCUUUAAGAAAAAGCACAAUUUUAAUCUUUAGUGAGUCUAACCAAGAAAAAUGGAAACAUCAGUUCAGAGACUUGUAGAGACAAAAAUAUUUAGUAUUUGGUCUAAAUUGUAGCCAAAUAACAAAAACUCAAAAACAAUGGGCAGGGCUAGAGUCUAAUAACAGGUGUACUAUAGUGUUUUUUCUGAAAUGCAAUUUUUCUUUCUUUUUUUUUUUUUUGAGAUGGAGUCUUGCUCUGUUGCCCAGGCUGGAGUGCAGUGGCACUAUCUCGGCUCACUGCAAGCUCUGCCUCCUGGGUUCACACCAUUCUCCUGCCUCAGCCUCCUGAGUAGCUGGGACUACAGGCGCCCACCACCACACCUGGCUAAUUUUUUGUAUUUUUAGUAGAGACGGGGUUUCACCAUGUUAGCCAGGAUGGUCUCGAUCUCCUGACCUCAUGAUCCACCCGCCUCGGCUUCCCAAAGUGCUGGGAUUACAGACUCGAGCCACCGUGCCCGGCCCCCGCAAUUUUUCUUUCUUUAGUCUCUCAUUUAUACCAAAGACAAAUCAUAGUAAGACUAAUUUACUUGUAAAAUGUUUUAGUCUUACUAUAUUUGGCCUGAUUCUUUGCAUAAAGUAUAGCAAGAAUAGUGAUUAGUGAUGUAGGCAUUUUUUAAGUUGGUGUUGCUAGAACUUUUUUUUUUUUUUUUUUUUUGAGAUGGAGUCUCUCUCCGUUGCCCAGGCCGGAGUGCAAUGGCGCGAUCUCUGCUCACUGCAACCUCUGCCUCCCAGGUGCAAGCAAUUCUCCUGCCUCAGCCUCCCAAGUAGCUGGGAUUACAGGCGCUCACCACCGCACCUGGCUAAUUUUUAUAUUUUUAGUAGAGACGGGGUUUUGCCAUGUUGGCCAGGUUGGUUUCGAAUUCCUGCCCUCAGGUGAUCCGCCCACCUCGGCCUCCCAAAGUGCUGGGAUUACAGGCAUGAGCCACUGUGCUUGGCCACUAGAACUUUUUCAUAAGGAAUCUCAGGUUACACUUUUAAAAGCUUCUUAAAGCUGAGAAGCCAAGCCAAAGAUUUGCCAUCAGACUGUGCUUAUAAAACCAGUGUAUAAAACUGUGUAAAAUAUGUGUGUAUAAAACCAGUGAAUUCCUCUCUUUUUGAGGUUCCCAAAAUAUCUGGAGAGUCCUGGGCCUGUCAUAAGGUGAUGUUAUUUACUUACCACAAGAUCAUCAGGAACCUCGUAAGGGAGCCAUGUAGAUGAGGCACCAAGCCAGUCUUUCCAAGGGGCUUUUUAUUUGCUCUGUGAAGACAACCUAAAUUGCUCAAAGCAGUCUGGUCAUAUCCAAAAAUAUAUCAUUCCAGUUAAAGCCUUGGUAAAAUAACCAGUAUAUCCAAUUGUGAGCUGUUACAAAAGAAAGCAGAUUCUUACUGUGUAUGCAAAUAACUAUAUUGCCAUAAAUUAAGAAUACUCACGAAUAGCUUCCAAAUUUUGGAGAAAUCAGGUAGAGAAAGGUAAAUGUUUCCUUGUUUUUUUUUUUUGUUUUUUUUUUUGAGACAGAGUCUCGCUCUGUCAACAGGCUGUAGUGUAGUGGCGUGAUCUCGGCUCACUGCAACCACCACCUCCCAGGUUCAAGUGAUUCUCCUGCCUCAGACACCCGAGUAACUGGGACUACAGGCGCGUGCCACCACACCUAGCUAAUUUUUGUAUUUUUAGUAGAGAUGGGGUUUCACCAUGUUGGCCAGGAUGUCUCAAUCUCUCGACCUCGUGAUCCGCCUGCCUCAGCCUCUCAAAGUGCUAGGAUUAUAGAAGUGAGCCACCACGCUCGGCAAAUGUUUCAAUUUUAUUCACAAAAGUAUACUUUACCCAAUUGUUGUAAACUAUAAAUAUUAAUGUUUAAAAUAAAAUUUUUCUUGACUCAAAAACAAAACAGGAAAAGAAUCAGCAAUAUUUUAAGCAAAAAAGUUACAAAAAUUAUUUUAGUCUUUUAUCAGUUUAGUUCCAUGUAAUUCAUUCCUGUUCUGCUUGAAGUUAUCAACUUUCAUGAACCUAUUAACUUUGUUUACUAGAGUCUUGAAAAAUUUCACAUUGUUCAAUGUUAUGAUCUCCAAAGUUAUCAAAAACCUGUAUUCAAGAGUACUUGUCAGGAUCCUUAUGAAUUUUUUUGAAGAAGAAUCAAAUUUUGGACUAUAGCUGAUUAUAAACUGUCUUUCAAGAAGAAUGAAAAUAAAACAAUAAAUGUCUAUGGAUGGCAAAAGACUUAGAAUAGCCGUAAUUAAAGACACAAUUGACAGCCAGGUGUAGUGGCUCAUGCCUGUAAUCCCAGCAAUUUGGGAGGCCAAGGUGGUCGGUUCACAAGGUCAGGAGAUCAAGACAAUCCUGGCUAACAUGGUGAAACCCCAUCCCUACUAAAAAUACAAAAAAAAAAAUUAGCUGGGCAUGGUUACAGGCGCCUGUACUCCCAGCUACAGGUAGGAGGGAGGUAGGAGAAUGGCAUGAACCCAAGGAGGUGGAGCUUGCAGUGAACCGAAAUGGCGCCACUGCACUCCAGCCUGGGUGACAUAGUGAGACUCCGCCUCCAAAAAAAAAAAAAAAGACACAAUUGACAAGAAAAUUUGCUUAUUUCUGUGGCAUAUAACAAUUUAACACAAUAAUCAUAUGAAUCAUAACAUAGGCCAAGACAUAUCAUAAUUUUAGGAAUCUCAUACAAUUUUGGAGCACAUAUUAAUAACACAUUUCUGCAAAUGUAACUCAAAGUUAAAUGCCACUUCUAUUUGACAGUGUUUUCCAUAUGAUUUUUAUAUACCAAAAUUAAAAGUUAGUUUCAGGUCAAAAAGACUUAAUUUUAGAAUAUAAAAUUUGAUUUUGAGAAGUUUGUCAACUAUUAAAGGCUUAAAACACUUGAUAGGAAAAUAAGAAAGGUUUCAAACCCUGGAUCAAAAUAGAAUUACACAUAAGUAAUCCUUAUCUUACACAAAUAAGUUACUCAUUUAGCCAAAGUGAUAAUUCAAAGAUUUCAAAAAGCAAAAACCCUUACUCUUUGAUAGAGAGGAGACUCAGUUCUCUAAACAGUCAAAAAGACAAAGACAGCAUGAGGCAAACUCUCUUUUUUCUUUUGCAAUGUAUUUAAAAGGUGAACAAAAAAUCUUGCAUUUGUUAUCUCUUUUUUUUUUUUUUUUUUUGUUGUGUUCUAGGAAAACUUUAUUUAUAAACACAGGCAGCCAAUAGUUUGCCAACUCCUAUUUUAGAACAUGAGUGAGAAUCAUCAAUAAAACUACAAAUCUUUGCAACAGUCAGAAUAAGAAAAUAGUGAAUUAAAGACUAUUAGCAUUUCAGCCAUCUAGGACAGUGUUCUUCUCAUUAUCAUACGUAAAUAUUUGUUUUGUUUUUUUUUUUUUUUAAUUGAUCAUUCUUGGGUGUUUCUCGCAGAAGGGGAUUUGGCAGGGUCAUAGGACAAUAGUGGAGGGAAGGUCAGCAGAUAAAC